rnacentral:rRNA from 1 species
UACGAAGGGGGCUAGCGUUGUUCGGAAUUACUGGGCGUAAAGCGCACGUAGGCGGACAUUUAAGUCAGGGGUGAAAUCCCAGAGCUCAACUCUGGAACUGCCUUUGAUACUGGGUGUCUUGAGUAUGGAAGAGGUGAGUGGAAUUCCGAGUGUAGAGGUGAAAUUCGUAGAUAUUCGGAGGAACACCAAUUGCGAAGGCAGCUCACUACGGAUGUAUUGACACUGAGGCACGAAAGCGUGGGGAUCAAACAGG